rnacentral:rRNA from 1 species
GUUCAGAUCGCAGUCUGCAACCCGACUGCGUGAAGUCGGAAUCGCUAGUAAUCGCGGAUCAGCAUGCCGCGGUGAAUACGUUCCCGGGCCUUGUACACACCGCCCGUCACACCAUGAGAGUCGGGAACACCCGAAGUCCGUAGCCUAACCGCAAGGGGGGCGCGGCCGAAGGUGGGUUCGAUAAUUGGGGUGAAGUCGUAACAAGGUAAC